rnacentral:rRNA from 1 species
AAGGCGAAAAGAACCCCGGCGAGGGGAGUGAAAAAGAACCUGAAACCGUGUACGUACAAGCAGUGGGAGCACCUUCGGGUGUGACUGCGUACCUUUUGUAUAAUGGGUCAGCGACUUAUAUUCUGUAGCAAGGUUAACCGUAUAGGGGAGCCGAAGGGAAACCGAGUCUUAACUGGGCGUUAAGUUGCAGGGUAUAGACCCGAAACCCGGUGAUCUAGCCAUGGGCAGGUUGAAGGUUGGGUAACACUAACUGGAGGACCGAACCGACUAAUGUUGAAAAAUUAGCGGAUGACCUGUGGCUGGGGGUGAAAGGCCAAUCAAACCGGGAGAUAGCUGGUUCUCCCCGAAAGCUAUUUAGGUAGCGCCUCGUGAACUCAUCUUCGGGGGUAGAGCACUGUUUCGGCUAGGGGGCCAUCCCGGCUUACCAACCCGAUGCAAACUACGAAUACCGAAGAAUGUUAUCACGGGAGACACACGGCGGGUGCUAACGUCCGUCGUGAAGAGGGAAACAACCCAGACCGCCAGCUAAGGUCCCAAAGUCAUGGUUAAGUGGGAAACGAUGUGGGAAGGCACAGACAGCCAGGAUGUUGGCUUAGAAGCAGCCAUCAUUUAAAGAAAGCGUAAUAGCUCACUGGUCGAGUCGGCCUGCGCGGAAGAUGUAACGGGGCUAAACCAUGCAC